AACGCGUAUGCAACUUGCCCUGCACAGGAGGAUAACCCGUCGAAAGACGGACUAAUACUGCGUACACUCACUGGGAGGCAUCUCUUGGUGAGGAAAGAAAUUCGGUGUAGGAUAGGCAUGCGUCCCAUUAGCUAGUUGGUGAGGUAACGGCUCACCAAGGCGACGAUGGGUAGGGGAACUGAGAGGUUUAUCCCCCACACUGGUACUGAGACACGGACCAGACUCCUACGGGAGGCAGCAGUGAGGAAUAUUGGUCAAUGGGCGAGAGCCUGAACCAGCCAAGUCGCGUGAAGGAUGACUGUCUUAUGGAUUGUAAACUUCUUUUGUAUGGGAAUAACGGGGCGGACGUGUCCGCUUGUGAAUGUACCAUACGAAUAAGCAUCGGCUAACUCCGUGCCAGCAGCCGCGGUAAUACGGAGGAUGCGAGCGUUAUCCGGAUUUAUUGGGUUUAAAGGGUUGCGUAGGCCGCUUGUUAAGUCAGCGGUGAAAUCUUGGUGCUCAACCCCGAAACUGCCGUUG
rnacentral:rRNA from 1 species